UCUCCGUAGGUGAACCUGCGGAGGGAUCAUUAUUGUAUAACCGACUUGCAAGGGCUUGCGCUCACCCCAAAGGUCGUUCACGCGCGAGUGCCCCCGCACCCAUCCAUCCCGCCCCUGUGUGCCCCACGGCGUCGGUCCCCCUUUUGCUUGUUCGGUAGGGGGCGUACGUAUUCACAAAAACUUUAUAUCCAUUAAAGAAUGUAUUUUUGGUUUUUGCGAUCACGCAAUCAAUACAACUUUCAACAACGGAACUCUUGGAUCUCGCAUCCGUGCAGAACG
rnacentral:misc_RNA from 1 species